rnacentral:lncRNA from 1 species
AAGUGAAUCUGUAGAAUAAAUCAGAGAUUGAUUUAUAAGAUAUUCAGUAUGUAAUUGGAGUACUCUGUGAUUGAAUUAUUUUGAGAAGAUAUUAGAAUUUCGUUAUCAGAUUUUGUGGAAGAUUGAUUCUCGAUGGAAGAUUGAUUCUGGAUGGAAGAUUAUGAUUGUUGUUAAUUGAAAGUUGUAUGUGUUUCAACAGAAGAAGUCUGUAAUUACAAAAAUUAUGUGAAGGAAGAUUGGUUGGAAUAGAAGAUUGUUAUUUCUUUUGUUGGAUGGAAUUUAUGUAUUUUAACCAGUCUUUGAAAGUGUAGGAUUGCACAUUGUUGUUAUCAAUUGAUGAAAGAGUAUUAUUAGUGGAAGAAAGCAUUGUAGUAUUCUUUGGUAUUUUAAUGGUUUGAAAUAUAUUUAAUUGUGUGAUCCUAAUGUGUAAGCUCAUGCAAUUAGUCUUUCUUUGUGUUUGAAUCCUUCUCUACAGGUUUAUUUUGAAAAAAAUUUGUAGAAUAAAUAAAACAACAAUCACAAGUAUUAAUAGCUAUUGUCUAGUUUAAAAUUAGUUAUUAUAGGCACGCUGAUACUG